rnacentral:rRNA from 1 species
AUGGCCUUGCCCUAGUACGGCGAGUGAAGCGGCAACAGCUCAAAUUUGAAAGCUAGCCUUCGGGUUCGCAUUGUAAUUUGUAGAGGAUGCUUUGGGUAAAACGCCAGUCUAAGUUCCUUGGAACAGGACGUCAUAGAGGGUGAGAAUCCCGUAUGUGACUGGAAAUGUUAACCUAUGUAAAGCUCCUUCGACGAGUCGAGUUGUUUGGGAAUGCAGCUCUAAAUGGGAGGUAAAUUUCUUCUAAAGCUAAAUAUUGGCGAGAGACCGAUAGCGCACAAGUAGAGUGAUCGAAAGAUGAAAAGCACUUUGGAAAGAGAGUUAAAAAGCACGUGAAAUUGUUGAAAGGGAAGCGCUUGCAAUCAGACUUGUUUAAACUGUUCGGCCGGUCUUCUGACCGGUUUACUCAGUUUGGACAGGCCAGCAUCAGUUUCGGCGGCCGGAUAAAGGCAUUGGGAAUGUGGCCUUCACUUCGGUGGAGGUGUUAUAGCCCAGUGUGUAAUACGGCCAGCCGGGACUGAGGUCCGCGCUUCGGCUAGGAUGCUGGCGUAAUGGUUGUAAGCGACCCGUCUUGAAACACGGGACCAACACC